rnacentral:rRNA from 1 species
UACGUAGGGCGCAAGCGUUGUCCGGAAUUAUUGGGCGUAAAGGGCUCGUAGGCGGUUCGUCACGUCGGCUGUGAAAUCCCGAGGCUCAACCUCGGGUCUGCAGUCGAUACGGGCGGACUGGAGUACUGCAGGGGAGACUGGAAUUCCUGGUGUAGCGGUGAAAUGCGCAGAUAUCAGGAGGAACACCGGUGGCGAAGGCGGGUCUCUGGGCCGUAACUGACGCUGAGGAGCGAAAGCGUGGGGAGCAAACAGG